rnacentral:lncRNA from 1 species
AUGGAACCGAGUAUUAGACCGGCUAUGGAGGCUUGUAAAGCUCUGGUUGUGAACAGCUGUUUGGUUCUGAAGAUGUUCUUGCAAGAUCUUUGCCCAAGUAUCUGCACCUCCUCUAACACCGAGUUGCUGUGAGAGUCAGGUUGAUGAAACUCUCUUCCUGCAUUAUUACUCUUCCAUGUUUUGCCAUGACCGUAACACGAGAUCUCUCUGCAGCUCUGCGUCAAGACCGGUUCAAGGCUCCCUGCAAUGUCAAUAGCGUACUCCAAGACAUUCACACGGCGAGGAAUCUGGUGACCAAAGAACUUGAUCUUCUGAUAAAGACUAUUAACCGAUCCGUUCUGAACAACCAG